rnacentral:rRNA from 1 species
UACAGGGGGCGCGAGCGUUGCUCGGAAUCACUGGGCGUAAAGCGUACGCAGGCGGGCCGUUAAGUCGCAUGUGAAAUCCCGGGGCUCAACCCCGGAAGUGCAUGCGAAACUGGCGGUCUUGAAUACGGGAGAGGUGAGUGGAAUUCCUGGUGUAGAGGUGAAAUUCGUAGAUAUUCGGAGGAACACCAGUGGCGAAGGCGGCUCACUGGUCCAUUACUGACGCUGAGGUGCGAAAGCGUGGGGAGCAAACAGG